rnacentral:lncRNA from 1 species
UCAUUGUGAGAAUUAGAUAAAAUAUUUUUAACAUACUUAAAACUGUUCCAGGAAAUGCUGUUCAAGCUUAAGAAAAAAAUUCUGCAUUCACAGGAUCCUUGAUAUGCCACCAUUUUCAGUCUCUGAACAGCCUAAAAUCUAAUUUUUGCCAGCUGAUCAAAUGGACUGUGAGGAGAAAAUCCAUAAGUAAGACCUAGAUGUCAGACGAAUAAACCUGCAGAGAAUUGUGUUUAAAUUCCAUUGAGAUGAUACAAGUUUGCUAACUAGAAUCCACGUAUAAUGACAGCAUAUUUUUCAUCACUAAAAUUCCAUUGUCAUUAACUCAUUAUCUGAAAGAUUAGCCCAUGAUCACUUCAGAUGAAAACUAACUGAAAAUAAUGCCAUAAGUACUAGAAGUUAAUUUAUGGACUCGCCUGAAAUGCAGAUGCUCAAUCUGAGUCCUCUGACAGCCUCACUAUUUUAAAAGCAAGUUGGAUCCAGCGCUCUUGAAGAUGGAGAGGCAGCCGAGAACCACCUUCCCUAAUUGCCUGAUGAAGACUCCUCUUGAGUUGAGACACCAGCUUACUGGUUAUUGUGUCUAAUGAGUAA